AGUAAGGGCGACUGAAACGGGAUGAGCCCAGCGCAUAACCUUGUGCCGUCAGUCGGUGGUUUGCCCCACCGUCUUGGCGGGUGUGCAAGGGGUGUUGCGUUCCGGAGGGUCCGUAACCCGCACGCUCCUUGCUGCCUAAGUCUUGCUUGAACGCAGCCCGCAUACCCAUGGAGGGUGCUAGGCCCGUGUGGCAGUUGAACACGAGUAAUUCCAGGGCGAACCGGGAGUGGAACCCCCACGAACCAAGUACCUCGGGGGUGAAAGAGGAGCGGCGGAAGGGACCUCUCUGUAGAGUCGGGUUGCUUGGCAGUGCAGCCCAAAGAAGGUGGUAAACUCCAUCUAAGGCUAAAUAUGCCCACGAGUCCGAUAGCGAACAAGUACCGUGAGGGAAAGUUGAAAAGGACUCUGAAGAGAGAGUUAAAGGCACGUGAAACCGUCAAGGGUCAAACGGGUGGCAGCUCGAAGGUUGAACCUGAGGGGAUUCAGCUGGUCGGCGUUGGCCCGGCUGGAUGGUGGGGUUGACAGUCCCCUUGAAGUGACCUAUGACCUUGAUGGUCUGUAGGCACGCCCCCAGUCGGUGCUGGCGCUGGUCGGCGUAUUUCGCCUCGUAGUAAGUCGCCACGACCCGUUGCGGGGACGCCAAAGGCCCAGUCGGAGUGUGGUACCCCUCCGGGGGGAAACCGCUGGUGACAUAUCCUGGCAUUGCCCUGCGACGGUCGUCACAGAAGGGUGGUCUGUCGGUUGGGAGGUGGGAUCCCGUGUUGCCCCACGGGGUGGCCGGUUUCCCCCAUCCCGUAAUAUCCGCGUGACCCUCGUGGCGUUAGGCAUCGGUAGCUACCCGACCCGUCUUGAAACACGGACCAAGGAGUCCAACAUGUGUGCAAGUCAUUGGGAUCACUACUAAACCCAAGGGCAGAAUGAAAGUGACUGUUCGGCUGGGGGGGUGGCCGGGGUGGUGGGUUUGGGCUUUGGCGAGUGUCCUAAGCCACUGUUCAACCAGUGGUGGUGGCUCUCUCCACUCCCAUUCUCUCCCCCCACAACCUCUUCCUCCACCGAGGGCAGAUCCCCGACCGAUUGCCGCCGGCACCUGCUGUGUGGGUGGCGGUAGGAGGUGAGCCCCUUUCCCUCCUCGUGCCCUGCAGUAAGGUCAGUAGCCCGGUUCAAGGCAACGGUCUAGGCCUGUUUGACAGGGGGGCGCAUGCCCGGGGCUUGCCGCAAGGCACCGCUGGCCCGGCCAAUCCUGCAAGGGAGGCAUCCGGGCCGGUCGGCAGCUGGCAAGUACCUCGAGCAUACAUGUUGGGACCCGAAAGAUGGUGAACUAUGCCUGGCCAGGACGAAGCCAGAGGAAACUCUGGUGGAGGUCCGCAGCGAUUCUGACGUGCAAAUCGAUCGUCGGAGCUGGGUAUAGGGGCGAAAGACCAAUCGAACUAUCUGGUAGCUGGUUCCCCCCGAAGUUUCCCUCAGGAUAGCUGGUGCACAGGAAUGAGUUUCAUCUGGUAAAGAGAAUGAUUGGCAGCCUUGGGGGCGAAACGCCCUCAACUGACUCUCAAACUUUAAAUGGGUGAGAUGCCGAGCUUGCUUGAAGUCCCCGAAUGGGAGACGGAUGAAGCUCUGGCGCAGAAUCAGUGUGCCAAGUGGGCCAAUUUUGGUAAGCAGAACUGGCGCUGUGGGAUGAACCAAAAGUCCGAGUUAAGGGGCCUAAAUGAAUGCUCAAAGAACCCACAAAAGGUGUUGGUUGCUUUAGACAGCAGGACGGUGGCCAUGGAAGUCGGCAUCCGCUAAGGAGUGUGUAACAACUCACCUGCCGAAGCAACCAGCCCUGAAAAUGGUAUGGCGCUCAAGCAUUCUCCCGAUACUCGACCGCCGGGGCACUACGGACUUGCUGUGGUCUCGAAGCCCCGGCGAGUAGGGGGUGCGCGGCGGUGAGCUUUGAAGGGUGUGCGUGAGCCUGCCUGGAGCCGCCGCUGGUGCAGAUCUUGGUGGUAGUAGCAAUUAAUUGAGAGAGACUUCCCUGGAUGGCUCAUGUGGAGAAGGGUUCCAUGUGAACAUCAAUUGGACAUGGGUUAGUCACUCCUAAGCCCAAGGCUAAAGCCUUGUACCAUGCAAUAGGCAAGAGAUCCAUUGUGAGGGGGAACAAACCCUGAGUGUCAUACCACCACGGACGAGGUCCUCCGCGUCUGCUGGCGGAGUGGGGCCCCCUUUCCCUCUUUCUUACCCCUUCCUCCGGGUUGGGUCCAAGGAAGAUUGUCGGGGGGGGUUUCUCUGUGCGGGCAGGCGGUUGUGUUGGCCUGAGACUCCGGGGUGAGUGGGGGGUCGGACGGUAUUUUCUGGGCCCAAUCUGUACCCCCCUGUAUGCUUUAAUGGCGCGCCCGGCUCCUUUCUGGGCUCGGCUUCGGUCCGGGACGAGGGAGCAAUCCCAUCCGGUGCCUGCGUGGCCUUGCCCAGAGGGAAAUAU
rnacentral:rRNA from 1 species